rnacentral:lncRNA from 1 species
UUUUGUCGUGCAAUCUAUGCUAAACUCCUUCCAGUUUCUAUGAAUUCUUCCAAAGUAAGUAGAGUUAUUGUCAUUCUCUUAUCUUUAUUAUAUAUAGUAACAUACAACAAGAGGCCCUUUCUGGUUUUCACGUAUCACUGUUGAUCAUCUUUGUUUCGCCCUUAAAAGCAAGGUAUCAAGGUUAAAAUGAAUUUCAAAAUUAUAAGUCAGCAGUUCCCUACUCUAUGUAUGGUGGGAUGGUGCACUGGAAAAGGAAAUGUAUAUGAGGCAGAAACUUUUGUCAUAACCGAUGAUGUUAAACUUUGUAAUUUUAAAAUCAGAUGCACAUCUGAAUAUACUAUGAUCCUGAUGUUAUGGGGAUGACAAAUAAUGCCAUUGUAGCUGAUUGUUGAGUUUUUACUUUUGAGAAUGCUGGUGAGACAUUUCAAGCAGGAGCCAUGUAUCUGAAAGAAAUUGGUGUUGAAGCUAGGAGGUUGAGUGUUGUAAAGUGUAUAAGUUUCAUGUUAAAAGGAAUUCUGAG